rnacentral:rRNA from 1 species
CCUACGGGGGGCAGCAGUGGGGAAUAUUGGACAAUGGGGGGAACCCUGAUCCAGCCAUGCCGCGUGUGUGAAGAAGGCCCUCGGGUUGUAAAGCACUUUCAGUGAGGAAGAACGCCUGGUGGUUAAUACCCAUCAGGAAAGACAUCACUCACAGACGAAGCACCGGCUAACUCCGUGCCAGCAGCCGCGGUAAUACGGAGGGUGCGAGCGUUAAUCGGAAUUACUGGGCGUAAAGCGCGCGUAGGUGGCUUGAUAAGCCGGUUGUGAAAGCCCCGGGCUCAACCUGGGAACGGCAUCCGGAACUGUCAAGCUAGAGUGCAGGAGAGGAAGGUAGAAUUCCCGGUGUAGCGGUGAAAUGCGUAGAGAUCGGGAGGAAUACCAGUGGCGAAGGCGGCCUACUGGACUGACACUGACACUGAGGUGCGAAAGCGUGGGUAGCAAACAGGAUUAGAUACCCUAGUAGUC